GUCAUACUACGGUGCAUCGUGGUGGAAAGUAAACGAUGACCCUUGAGGAACUCUGGGGUAAAAUACGUAUCAAAUUGCAAAAUAAGCCAGACCCUGGAAACUGCUCCGGGUCAGGCUUCUUU
rfam:Bacteria symbiont BFo1 of Frankliniella occidentalis strain BFo1 contig114, whole genome shotgun sequence.